rnacentral:lncRNA from 1 species
AAUCAUCUAAAUUACUUCUUCGUCCUCUUCGGACUCCGAACCCAUAGAAGCUAGCGAACCGAUAGUAAACAUGGCCGUGUCUCUUAAAGACCGUUGUUACCCGUCUCAUUCAAGUCAACCUUCGUGCAUCACCCUUCCUCCCGAUAAUGGUAAUAAUUUUGAAAUCAAAGCUCACCACAUUAGCAUGUUACCUAAAUUUACCGGGAGUGAGGGUGAGGAUCCUUAUCUUUUUAUCCAAGAGUUCGAGGAAGUUUGUUCCCUCCAAAAGCUCCACC